GCAGCAUGUGAAAGAGCAACAGCAACCUGAUCAGCUACCACUUCAACAAGCUCCAGCUCAUGAACAUGCCAUUGUCUUGCACUGUCUGAAGGAAGCAUCAGAACCAUUAAAGCAUAGCGCUUUGUUGAAAGUUCAGGCCAAUCAUUAAUCUGAAAGUUCGACAGAUGCAGAAGUGGAACCCUGACAGCAACCACCUCACCAGGCAUGUAUUUCCCAGCAGGUCGAA
rnacentral:misc_RNA from 1 species